rnacentral:rRNA from 1 species
AUUAACGCUGGCGGCAUACAUUAGGCAUGCAAGUCGAACGGUCCGACGCAAGUCGGAUAGUGGCAGACGGGUGAGUAAUAGGUAGGAAUCUACCUCUUGGUGGGGAAUAAUCUGGGGAAACUCAGACUAAUACCGCAUAUUUCUGUAAGGAAAAAGGAAUUAACUUUUCGCCAAGAGAUGAGCCUGCUUGCUAUCAGCUAGUUGGUAAGGUAAAGGCUUACCAAGGCUAUGACGGCUAGGGGGUGUGAGAGCAUGGCCCCCCACAAGGUUACUGAGACACGGAACCUACAUCUACGGAUGGCAGCAACCAGGAAUUUUGCGCAAUGGACGAAAGUCUGACGCAGUGAUGCCGCGUGCGGGAUGAAGGCCUUAGGGUCGUAAACCGCUGUGGUAGGGGAAAAAGAUCUGAUGGUACCCUAUUAGAAAGGACCUGCUAACUACGUGCCAGAAGCCUCGGUAAUGCGUAGGGUCCAAGCGUUGUCCGGAAUUAUUGGGCGUAAAGCGUGCGUAGGCGGUUUGUUAAGUGGUAGGUGAAAGCUUCCGACUCAAUUGGGAGACUGCCUAUCAAACUGACAGACUAGAGGAAGUUUGGGGAUGCUGGAAUUGAUGGUGAAGGAGUGAAAUCCGUUGAUAUCAUCAAGAACACCCAAUGGCGAAAGGCAGGCAUCUGGGACUUAUCUGACGCUGAGGUACGAAAGCUAGAGUAGCGAAAGGGAUUAGAGACCCCUGUAGUUCUAGCCGUAAAUGAUGGACACUAGCUGAUGGGUUUUCUCAUUGGCGUAAGCUAACGCGUUAAGUGUCCCGCCUGGGGAGUACGGUCGCAAGGUUAAAACUCAAAGGAAUUGACGGGGACCCGCACAAGCGGUGGAGCAUGUGGUUUAAUUCGAUGCAACGCGAAGAACCUUACCUGGUCUUGACAUACACGGAACUUUCCAGAGAUGGAUUGGUGCCUUCGGGAACCGUGAUACAGGUGCUGCAUGGCUGUCGUCAGCUCGUGUCGUGAGAUGUUGGGUUAAGUCCCGUAACGAGCGCAACCCCUAUCCUUAUUUGCCAGCACAUCAUGGUGGGAACUAUAAGGAGACUGCCGGUGAUAAACCGGAGGAAGGCGGGGACGACGUCAAGUCAUCAUGGCCCUUACGACCAGGGCUACACACGUGCUACAAUGGGAAGGACAAAGGGUUGCUAAGCCGCGAGGUGGUGCUAAUCUCAUAAACCUUUUCGUAGUCCGGAUCGGAGUCUGCAACUCGACUCCGUGAAGUCGGAAUCGCUAGUAAUCGUGGAUCAGAAUGCCACGGUGAAUACGUUCCCGGGUCUUGUACACACCGCCCG